rnacentral:rRNA from 1 species
UACGAAGGGGCUAGCGUUGCUCGGAAUCACUGGGCGUAAAGGGUGCGUAGGCGGGUCUUUUAAGUCAGGGGUGAAAUCCUGGAGCUCAACUCCAGAACUGCCUUUGAUACUGAAGAUCUUGAGUUCGGGAGAGGUGAGUGGAACUGCGAGUGUAGAGGUGAAAUUCGUAGAUAUCUGGAGGAAUACCGGUGGCGAAGGCGGCAUCCUGGACCGACAUGACGCUGAUGAGCGAAAGCUAGGGGA